CCUUAAAGACCAUUCUCAGUUCGGAUUGUAGGCUGAAACUCGCCUACAUGAAGCUGGAGUUACUAGUAAUCGCGGAUCAGCAUGCCGCGGUGAAUACGUUCCCGGGCCUUGUACACACCGCCCGUCACACCAUGAGAGUUUGUAACACCCAAAGCCGGUGGGGUAACCUUUUGGAGCCAGCCGUCUAAGGUGGGACAGAUGAUUAGGGUGAAGUCGUAACAAGGUAGC
rnacentral:rRNA from 1 species